AUUUCACGGAACUACGGAUUGCUCGUUCUUUCCGGUGCUUUUAUCCUCAAAAGUGGUCCGAGUUAUCUUGUUUUUGUGGAUUUGUUCCUCAGAUUUAAGGAUUGCGUUGGUUUAGCCAAUAUUUCAUUUACGCAUUUGAUUGUUAGGUUGUCACGUUUGUUUUUAGUUUUUUUGUUGUCUCACCGUUUGUGUGAGUUUUGUUAUUUCUCACCGUUUGUGUGAGUAUGGUGCUUGAUUUAGUAAUUGAAAUUGUCAGGGGAUUGCAUUCUCAGUCGAUAGCUCAAACUGGUUGUGGCGGAAGCGAAAGUGGCGAAGUAUGUGUAUAUAUCAUCUUCAACAAAUCACGUGAUUUUAUCUCCAAGAUGAAUGGAUUAAUCAGUGAUUGUUUCUGUAUUUUGUUUGUUCGACGCGACUGUUUAUGUAGAUGCCGUAUGGCUUUUCAUUAUUGAAUUAACUCAUUUAUCAAAAAA
rnacentral:lncRNA from 1 species